GCCGGUGACUACACCAGUCUGAAAAUGCCUGAUCUUGUCAGAUCUAAGCAGUCAUCCAGACAUAUGCCUGAUUAGUACUCGUAUGGAAGACCAACUUGGAACCCCAGGUCCGCAGGCU